CGCCGUUGCUAGGGCGCCCCUUGCCGGCGGCAGUCCCUCAGUGUGGUCGCCGCCGCGGCGGGAGCAGUGUUGGGGGGCUGUGAGGCUCGGCCGCCGCUCGGAGUUUGCUUCUCGGCCCUUCUCGCCUUCUCCCUUUCCCCCUCCCCGCCUGGGGCUCGGCACAGCCCGCCGGGCGCCUCCUGGACUCGGGGCGGACCGUGUCCCCGUCCCAGCAUGCAGAGGUUCAUCACGCUCCUCAGGAGCCUGCGGGAGCGGCUGCGGCCCAGCAGCGCCUCCGCUCCCUGCGCCCCCGGGGCCCCCGAGCUCCGGGAGGAGGGCCGCGGCGGGCUGUACAGCGCGGCAGCCAGCGGCGACCUGACCCCACAGCGGCGGCGCUGGUGGCGGAGGAGGCUCCGCAUCAAGGAGCGAGACGCGAAGCCGCAGAUGCCUCUGCACCUUGCUUGUGCGAACAACCAUGCAGAUGUUCGAUUUCUAGCAGGAAGGGAGCGCCACCUAAACCCUUGUGACAAUUUUCAGAAAACACCACUGACGGAGGCAGUAGAGGACCCGCACAAAGACUGUGUGGCUGUUUUACUGGAGCACGGUGCCAGCCCUGACCUCAAAGGUGCUGGCGGCAACACUGCCCUUCACCUAGCUGUUGCCAUUCCUAGCAAACCUUUAGCAGAGCUGUUACUCGAGCACAAGGCCCAUAUCAAUGCUCAGAAUGAGCUGGGAUACACUCCGCUUACUCUUGCGAUCACCAAGCACUGUGAAGAGAUGGUCGAGUUCCUUCUUCAAAAAGGAGCUGACGUACACGUUCGAGAUAAGGAUAGAAGGACCCCUCUUAUGGCAGCUGCUGCUGCUGGGGAUAUGAAUGUAAUACAACUUCUUCUUCGGCAUGGUGCUGAUCUUUCUCAUGAAGACCCAUCUGGCCACACAGCUGUGUAUUAUGCCAGGGUGUCUCAACAUGCCAAUAUUGCUAACCAACUGGAGGAAUAUGUGCACUGUGAAAGGAUGGGAGAAUGUUCUGCAGGAGACAGAGAAGGCCCAGCAGCACUUGACACCUCUUGCUCUGGGAGGACUGCUGACUUACUGUUGGGCACAGCUUCAUUGACUGGAGAAGGUGUCUUGCCAGCUGUAGGAGCAGAGCAAGAGAAAGAUGUUGAUUCCUCGUGGGAUUUUGAGGUACCUUCCCUGAAGGAGGCAGUGGGGCCUCGCUCGGCUCACUCCCUUUUGGGCUCGUUUCACUCUGCUACUGCUUCAGCCACCCGCUCGUAACUGGGAUCUUGACAUGCUGCUGCUGCAGGCAAUAUGUUCAGUGAGGUCGAGCUAAUGACCUGGCUCUCCUAGCAGCUGGCCUCUGAGCUGGAUUUCUAAUACAGGAUUGAAGCGGUAAAGCUUCCCACCAGUUACAAUCCCCUGAAAUCCUAGAAGGCUGCAACUGUGAGGAUUGCUGGUUUUUCACCACACAGCUCUCUUCUUUGGAUCCAGCCAAUGUCAACUGGUUACCCAUAGGGCUUAUAGUCUACAUACUUGGCUGCUUCUGCUUCGGUCCUCUCUAUCAUGGGCAGCUGUACUUCAUCCUCUUUUGAAAGCCCAGUUCAACAGAGAUGCCUAACAUGCUGGCUCUUUUUGCCCUUUUCAUUCUUUCAGUCACCUGUUACCAUGUUAUGCAUGUUGGCUGAAGCAGGAGUUUUGUACGUGAAAACGGGUGGAGAAGUAGUCUAUGCCAGUUCUCACACAAGUCUUUUAAAUUACACAGACGGAUUCUGAAGAUCCAGGGAAAGCAUUGACCAGCCUGCCCAACAAGGAUGCUUCAACUCAUACAGAUUUUUGCCACAACGGACAGAAAUUGAUCCGUCAGCUGCAGCAGGAGCUUGCUGAAACCACCAAGAACUUCCUAGCAGAAGUUUCACUCAAAGCUAAGAAGCGUCACACCAGGGAUCCUCAGGAACAGAAACUGCAGUUGCAGAAGGAAUUUGACAGGUCUAAAGCUAAGGUAUGGAGAAAGCCUGUCUCUUGGCAGGGGCCCAGGCCUUUUCUGUAGCAAAGCAGAGCAGGGAACUGACACUUUCUUAGGGGUUUUCUGUAACCCAGGGUGGUUCAGUGUGCAGCUAGUUGUAAUGAGGGAGCUGGGAGGGAACAGCCCUGCUGCCUUUGGUGCCUGUCUGUUUGCACCACUUGAAGUAACAGUGGAGGGCGGUGCUAAGGUGGUCUCAGUAUACUAGACAACUUUGCAACAGGAGUAGAUCGAGUGACAUGGAAGUAACUCGCUUUGUUUUAUAAGACUGAUGCCCAUGAUUAGAAAGAUCACUAACCAUGAAGUCACUUUGUCCUUAUUUAGAGAAGGGUGUGUGUAUUCCUUUCCAAAAACUGCUUCUCAGGUUUCACAGAGCCCCUGUGUUUGCUGCUGCUUUUGGGUUUGGUUAAAGCCAAAUGUGUGCUGACAGGCAUGCUGGAGUGUUUCUGGGUGUGUUGUAGUCC